rnacentral:rRNA from 1 species
UACGAACUGUGCGAACGUUAUUCGGAAUCACUGGGCUUACAGGGUGCGUAGGCGGUUUGGUAAGUCGGAUGUGAAAGCCCCGGGCUCAACCCGGGAAGUGCACUCGAUACUGCCAAGCUAGAGUAUCGGAGAGGUUGGUGGAAUUCUCGGUGUAGAGGUGAAAUUCGUAGAUAUCGAGAGGAACACCGGUGGCGAAGGCGGCCAACUGGACGAAUACUGACGCUGAGACUCGAAAGCGUGGGGAGCAAACAGG